AAGUUGAUUGGGAAACUCAUCAAAUUUUGGUGAAAUACCGAGACACACUCGACGUACAAUGGCGGGCCUUAGCUCCGGUCUUAGACCGGAGAGCGCAUGACGAAAGUCAUGUGGCCGGAGGAUUACAAAGUGCGAAGAGAGCUCAAAUCCUGUCCUCUGGAGUUUCAUCGCAUCCUUUGGUGUGGCAUUCUU
rnacentral:sRNA from 1 species